rnacentral:rRNA from 1 species
CCAAGGAGUCUAACAUGUGCGCGAGUCAUGGGGUCGUAAACCCAAGGGCGUAAUGAAAGUAAAGGUCAAUUCGGUUGACCGAGGUGAGAUCCCUGUAAGGGGCGCAUCACUGUCCCAUCGCAUCUACGUGUUAGAGCGGUGGAGAAAAAGCGUACACGUUGGGACCCGAAAGAUGGUGAACUAUGCCUGAGCAGGAUGAAGUCAUCGGAAACGGUGAUGGAGGUCCGUAGCGGUUCUGACGUGCAAAUCGAUCGUCAGACUUGGGUAUAGGGGCGAAAGACUAAUCGAACCAUCUAGUAGCUGGUUCCCUCCGAAGUUUCCCUCAGGAUAGCUGGCACUUAAACGCAGUUUUACCCGGUAAAGCGAAUGAUUAGAGGCCUUGGGGACGAAACGACCUCAACCUAUUCUCAAACUUUAAAUGGGUAAGAAGUCUCGCUUGCCUGACCGAAGCUCAGACUUUGAAUGCGAGUGCCAAGUGGGCCAUUUUU